GUGCUCGCUUCGGCAGCCCAUAUACUAAAAUUAGAACAAUACAGAGAAGAUUAACAUGGCCCCUGUGCAAAGAUGACGUGCAAAUGCGUGAAGCGUCCCCUAUUUUU